rnacentral:pre_miRNA from 1 species
CCCACACCUAUAUGUAUAGGACUUCAAAGGAUCACCAUUAAAUUUCGCACAGAUAUUUAGAAAAGUUAUCACAUGGGUGUGAGACUUGAAUUUUCUAGAGAUCUGUGUCAAAUUUAAUGGUGAUCCUUUGAGGUCCUACACACAUGGGUGUGGG